CAAAGCCUGAGACCCGGGUUAGAAAAGAAACUCUUAGCCUGGGCCUGCUUCAUGGGGUAGGAUCUGUGUGGUUGAGCCCUCCCCACCCCUGUGCCUAGAAGAGCCCUGGGCUUCCUUGAACAGUCUCUCUGCCCCUUGAAGCCAGGUUGUACAUUUUGGUGGGGCAAGGACUGUCUUUAAAUCCUUUGAAUUUCCCAUGGAACUCAGCCCAAGGAUGUAUCAGUAAAGUGCUGAGGAGAAAAAGAGGCUCCAUUCUUCAUCUGGAAGAGCAAUGGAAGGAAAAUAGGCUGGAGUUUGUGAAGUGCCUACACUAUACCAGUUUGAUGUGGGUGAGGAGGUGAGAGCAGAGCUAGAACGGGCCAGCCACUCCUGCCAUGUCAUUCACAGCAUCUCCACAAAAGCCUUGGGAAAGGAAGGACUGGACUCCUUCUACAGAUUCAGAAUUUAAGGAACUUUUGAAAGACUUUUUAGUAGUUACUAAAAAAGGUAUCAUGGGUAUCAAAUUUGGUCUUGCUGGUUCCAGAUUCCCUCUCUUUUAAUUCCAGAGUUGCAUUUCUGCAGAGGAGUCAUUAUUUACAUGGCCCAGAUGCUACUCUGUUGAAGUCUUGUCAGUCCCAAGCAUUGGGGAGAGGGAAUGGCAAUGGUACCCUGAGGAUGGGUAGAGGGGGAGUUGGAGCCUGUGGCCAGGCUUGAGCGAGUUCACAGCUACCACCUACUAGAAGG